UUGACGAUAGCUUAUCGGUCAAUGCCAGUAACAUGAUUGGUAAAGGUGUCAUGGUUCCAGGUAAUAAAAUUUUGGUCGCUACAUCAGAAGUGGAAGGUUCGGAAAGCGAAAAAGAAACUAUUACCACACCAUUUGGCUUUGAACUUAUGCGUGAUGCUGAGUCAGUGGUCAUUACCAUUAAAGAUGAAAAUGGCAAUGUUGUACGUGAGGUCGAUUUAGGUUCGAUUCCUGCUGGGGUUA
rnacentral:tRNA from 1 species